rnacentral:rRNA from 1 species
GACGAACGCUGGCGGCGUGCUUAACACAUGCAAGUCGAACGGAAAGGCCCUGCUUUUGUGGGGUGCUCGAGUGGCGAACGGGUGAGUAACACGUGAGUAACCUGCCCUUGACUUUGGGAUAACUUCAGGAAACUGGGGCGAAUAUCGGAUAGGAGCUCCUGCUGCAUGGUGGGGGUUGGAAAGUUUCGGCGGUUGGGGAUGGACUCGCGGGUUAUCAGCUUGUUGGUGGGGUAGUGGCGUACCAAGGGCUUGACGGGUAGCCGGCCUGAGAGGGUGACAGGGCACCAGAGGACUGCGGGCGGCAACAGUAUCCUACCGGAGGCAGCAGGUGGGAACAUUACGCAAAAGGCGGACGCGCGAUGGCGCUACGCCGCCGGCGGGAUUGCGGGCUUCGGGUUGUAAACCGAUUUGCGCUGGUAUGUAGUGUGUAUGACGGUAACUGGUAAAAAAGCACCGGCUAACUACGUG